UACGUAGGGGGCUAGCGUUGUCCGGAUUUAUUGGGCGUAAAGAGCGUGUAGGCGGCCAGGUAGGUCCGGUGUGAAAACUCGAGGCUUAACCUCGAGAUGUCAUCGGAAACCAUCUGGCUAGAGUCCGGAAGAGGAGAGUGGAAUUCCUGGUGUAGCGGUGAAAUGCGCAGAUAUCAGGAAGAACACCUAUGGCGAAGGCAGCUUGCUGGGACGGUACUGACGCUGAGACGCGAAAGCGUGGGGAGCAAACAGG
rnacentral:rRNA from 1 species